AGAGUUUGAUCCUGGCUUAGAACUAACGCUGGCAGUGCGUCUUAAGCAUGCAAGUCAAACGGAAUGUAGCAAUACAUUCAGUGGCGAACGGGUGAGUAACGCGUGGAUGAUCUGCCUAUGAGAUGGGGAUAACUAUUAGAAAUAGUAGCUAAUACCGAAUAAGGUCAAUUAAUUUGUUAAUUGAUGAAAGGAAGCCUUUAAAGCUUCGCUUGUAGAUGAGUCUGCGUCUUAUUAGCUAGUUGGUAGGGUAAAUGCCUACCAAGGCGAUGAUAAGUAACCGGCCUGAGAGGGUGAACGGUCACACUGGAACUGAGAUACGGUCCAGACUCCUACGGGAGGCAGCAGCUAAGAAUCUUCCGCAAUGGGCGAAAGCCUGACGGAGCGACACUGCGUGAAUGAAGAAGGUCGAAAGAUUGUAAAAUUCUUUUAUAAAUGAGGAAUAAGCUUUGUAGGAAAUGACAAAGUGAUGACGUUAAUUUAUGAAUAAGCCCCGGCUAAUUACGUGCCAGCAGCCGCGGU
rnacentral:rRNA from 1 species